rnacentral:rRNA from 1 species
AUUGAACGCUGGCGGCGUGCUUAACACAUGCAAGUCGUGCGGUAACAGGCGUAGCAAUACGUGCUGACGAGCGGCGAACGGGUGCGUAAUACAUGGGAAUCUGCCCUUUAGUGGGGAAUAACUCGGCGAAAGCCGGGCUAAUGCCGCAUAAGAUCUUCGGAUGAAAGCGGGGGAUCGUAAGACCUCGCGCUGAUGGAUGA